rnacentral:rRNA from 1 species
AUGAACGCUGGCGGCGUGCCUAAUACCUGCAAGUCGCGCGCACAGACGAGGAGCUUGCUCCUCUGACGUUAGCGGCGGACGGGUGAGUAACACGUGGAUAACCUACCUAUAAGACUGGGAUAACUUCGGGAAACCGGAGCUAAUACCGGAUAAUAUAUUGAACCGCAUGGUUCAAUAGUGAAAGACGGUUUUGCUGUCACUUAUAGAUGGAUCCGCGCCGCAUUAGCUAGUUGGUAAGGUAACGGCUUACCAAGGCGACGAUGCGUAGCCGACCUGAGAGGGUGAUCGGCCACACUGGAACUGAGACACGGUCCAGACUCCUACGGGAGGCAGCAGUAGGGAAUCUUCCGCAAUGGGCGAAAGCCUGACGGAGCAACGCCGCGUGAGUGAUGAAGGUCUUCGGAUCGUAAAACUCUGUUAUUAGGGAAGAACAAAUGUGUAAGUAACUAUGCACGUCUUGACGGUACCUAAUCAGAAGGCCACGGCUAACUACGUG